AAUCAUCAACCUCCCCGGUUUGCGCUGGGUUCUCGGUUGGAGUUGGGGGGUUCUUUGCUGCCGAAAGGCGGCUCCCCUUGAAUGCGUCGGUUGGGUUCCUUAGGCUUUUGCGUCAAAAUGGGGCGUUGUAUCAUCCUCGCUCUUGCUAGACUGCGGCUUAGGUUUUGUUCCCUCUGGAGUGGCGGUCGAUACCAAUUGAA
rnacentral:misc_RNA from 1 species